UCCUCUUUACAGAGGCAGUUUGUUCUAAGUCCCCGACAUUACUCGCUGGUAACAGAACAUGAGGGUUGCGCUCGUUGCGGGACUUAACCCAACAUUUCACAACACGAGCUGACGACAGCCAUGCACCACCUGUAAAUCACCUUCGAAAGCGACUCGCUUUCACGAGCUUGCAGAUUUAUGUCAAGCCCUGGUAAGGUUCUUCGCGUUGCAUCGAAUUAAGCCACAUGCUCCACCGCUUGUGCGGGCCCCCGCCAAUUCCUUUGAGUUUCAACCUUGCGGCCGUAGUCCCCAGGCGGUUCACUUAAUGCGUUAGCUGCGGCACCGAGAAGAUCCCGACACCUAGUGAACAUCGUUUACAGCUAAGACUAC
rnacentral:misc_RNA from 1 species